UAUAUAUUAGUGUUAAUAAUCUGCACAAAAUUUUUUGAAAAUUUUAGUAAUAAUUUAGUUUAUUAUAUAUAU
rnacentral:tRNA from 2 species